rnacentral:rRNA from 1 species
UGCGAGUCUAAAGGUUUCUUCGGAAACCUUGGCGGACUGCUCAGUAACACGUGGAUAACCUACCCUUGGGACUGGGAUAACCCCGGGAAACUGGGGAUAAUACCGGAUAGAUCAGGGAUGCUGGAAUGCGCCUUGAUCCAAAGCUCCGGCGCCCAAGGAUGGGUCUGCGGCCUAUCAGGUAGUAGUGGGUGUAACGUACCUACUAGCCAACGACGGGUACGGGUUGUGAGAGCAAGAGCCCGGAGAUGGAUUCUGAGACACGAAUCCAGGCCCUACGGGGUGCAGCAGGCGCGAAACCUUUACAAUGUGCGAAAGCAUGAUAAGGGAACUCCGAGUGCCAGUAUCUAAUACUGGCUGUCCUUGUGCCUAAAACGCACAAGAUAGCAAGGGCCGGGUAAGACCGGUGCCAGCCCGCCGCGGUAACACCGGCGGCCCGAGUGGUAGCCCGCUAUUAUUGGGUCUAAAGGGUCCGUAGCCGGUUCGAUAAGUCCUCUGGGAAAUCUGGUUGCUUAACAAUCAGACUGCCAAGGGGAUACCUGUCGAACUUGAGACCGGGAGAGGUAAGAAGGUACUUCAGGGGUAGGAGUGAAAUCUUGUAAUCCCUGGGGGACCAUCUGUGGCGA